UUUCUUUCCGCCAUUCCACAACCAACCACUAACCAUCUCUUCACCAAAAUCCGAAGUUGAUCUUCUCCUAGACCACCAAACAUAGCAGUAUGAAACACACCUAGAAACAACUAGUUGUUUUCACUGGCGACAUGCUGUUUUUGUUGAAGCCGAGAUCGUUAGAAAGAGUGGAUGGAGAGCUUUUUGUGGCCUGCAAUGAGUGGGCACUUCCCUAUUUGUAGAACCUGUUACGAGUAUGAGCGUAGAGAAGGAAAUCAAGUUUGCCCUCAAUGUACAAGACUAGAUUCAAGCGUCUCAAAGGAUGUGUGAGAAUGUGUGAGAGUCCACGGGAUAAAAAAGAAUAUGACAUUAAUGAUUUGGAAAACGAGUUUAAUUUCGAUGAAAAGAAUAUGAACAGACCAUCAAAAGAAA